rnacentral:rRNA from 1 species
AUACGGAGGAUGCGAGCGUUAUCCGGAUUUAUUGGGUUUAAAGGGUGCGUAGGCUGUGCGUUAAGUCAGGGGUGAAAUGCCGUCGCUCAACGACGGAGCUGCCCUUGAUACUGGCGUGCUGGAGUACGGAUGCCGUUGGAGGAAUGAGUGGUGUAGCGGUGAAAUGCUUAGAUAUCACUCAGAACACCGAUUGCGAAGGCAUCUGACGAAUCUGUCACUGACGCUGAGGCACGAAAGCGUGGGGAUAGAACAGGAUUAGAUACCCUGGUAUUCCACGCCGUAAACGAUGAUGACUAACCGUCGGCGAUAGACAGCCGGUGGCCAAGCGAAAGCGAUAAGUCAUCCACCUGGGGAGUACGUCGGCAACGAUGAAACUCAAAGGAAUUGACGGGG